CUGAAAUAAACCUUUCCUCCUUUAACUUUUGGGACUCAGGUAUUUUGUCUCAGCCACAAAAAAACACUCUGGCUCUGCCCCUGUGCUCUGCUAUGAGUUGAGCAGCUUUUGUCUGCCAAGCCAUUCCACGAUGAUGUUUCUGUCUUGGAGCCAGCCAACCAUGGACUGCAUCCUCUGAAACUGUGAACCAAAAUAAAUCUUCCUGGACUGGUACAGCUCCAGCAGCCUCCCUGUGGCAUGCAGGUGCCUUAUGAGGAGAGAAUUUUUCCACUGUGCACAUCUGGAGGCAGGACCACUAGCUAUGGAGAGAACUGUGGUCAUCCAGUGAGAACUGCUUUUGCUGCAUGCAUGUGAGGCUGUAUCCUGAUUGGGA
rnacentral:lncRNA from 1 species